GGUUAGUAGGCGGCGGAAAUUAGAGAAUUUUUUACUGUUUCGAGUUCAGUGCGAUGUUAUAAAUGCGUUAAAGCCAUUGCCCGCUCAAAUAUAUUGCCCGAUGUUGAUUCAUUUUGCCAGCAAUUUUCCACGCAUUUGCGCCUUGAACAAAAAACUCCACUUUCGGUGGAGAUGCGCCCCCAAAGUCAUUAACAUUUAACCGAUCAAAGCGCCGAGGUGAGCGAAACAGGUAAAAUCACCCAUUCAAUGCCUCAACCCGCAAUCGGAGCCACAAAAACAGCCAGGAAGAGCAACAAUCGAUGGCGCCAAAAAAGAGAAGAGCGGAAUAUCAAAUUGCAACGCAAAAGUGAGGUCUUUAAUGCCACAGCCGCGGAAACACGUGCUCUAUCAGAUACCCUGUAAAUACUAAACAGUAGCAAGUAUAUAGCAUAGUUUUCUAAAUUCUGACUAGAUAUCAUUUAGUUUUUCUUGUUUUAACAAAAGUGCGGGCUUUAAUGCCACAGUCGCUGAAUCAGAAUCUAUCAGAUCAGAAUCUAUCAGAUACCCUCUCAACAUGUAUCGUGAAUCUUAAAAAAAAGGGUAUGAGAUAGUGUUGUCAAGAGCGGCAUAAGCGCGAGUUUGGUUCCUGCAUUUGCGUUUAAUUACGGAAUAAUCCAAAGCGAUUGCGGAACAGGAAAAUCGAUAUGGAGUGGUAAUGGUGGAUGGGCGGCAGUUUCGGGCGGCUGUGGCCAUCCGUGUCAGUCCCAAUGAUCCAGCGGCGGACAGGCCGUUGACGCUGCUAACCCAAUUAAGCUGUCGCCCGACUGAGCAGACAGCAUCCUUGCACGGCCCCUCAUGGAGUCCAUGGAGUCCACCCCCUGCUCCUCCACACCACCCCCACUGCUUUGGCGCCGGGAACCACAUCCACCGAGUAGCAACUGUUGGGUCUGCCGUGAACUGGCACUGUGCCCAAAUAAACCGCAGGAGCAAAAGCCACCGCUCCUCCAUGGCCACCAUCUCCUGGCAUCGCCCUGCUCAUUCGCUUCGUGGCGCUUCAAUAGCAAUUUGGUUAAACUCCUUUUUAAUUUCAGCCGCACUUCCGUCUCACCGCAGUUGGCUCCUUGGAGUGAAGACAGACUCUGAGAUGUCCUGAGAUUUAUUAUAAGUGCUUUUAUAGGGUUCAGCCAAUAAUAUCCGAGAGGAAUAUUAAAAGUAUGCUUUAAAUCGAAAAGUUUAAAGGUCUUAAAUAAAAAAUGCAUCCCAUGCUAAUCCGAAAUAGUAA